GGUGCGAAAGCGUGGGGAGCAAACAGGAUUAGAUACCCCUGGUAGUCCACGCCGUAAACGAUGUCGACUUGGAGGUUGUGCCCUUGAGGCGUGGCUUCCGGAGCUAACGCGUUAAGUCGACCGCCUGGGGAGUACGGCCGCAAGGUUAAAACUCAAAUGAAUUGACGGGGGCCCGCACAAGCGGUGGAGCAUGUGGUUUAAUUCGAUGCAACGCGAAGAACCUUACCUACUCUUGACAUCCAGAGAACUUUCCAGAGAUGGAUUGGUGCCUUCGGGAACUCUGAGACAGGUGCUGCAUGGCUGUCGUCAGCUCGUGUUGUGAAAUGUUGGGUUAAGUCCCGCAACGAGCGCAACCCUUAUCCUUUGUUGCCAGCGGUUCGGCCGGGAACUCAAAGGAGACUGCCAGUGAUAAACUGGAGGAAGGUGGGGAUGACGUCAAGUCAUCAUGGCCCUUACGAGUAGGGCUACACACGUGCUACAAUGGCGCAUACAAAGAGAAGCGACCUCGCGAGAGCAAGCGGACCUCAUAAAGUGCGUCGUAGUCCGGAUUGGAGUCUGCAACUCGACUCCAUGAAGUCGGAAUCGCUAGU
rnacentral:rRNA from 1 species